rfam:Lactobacillus saniviri JCM 17471 = DSM 24301 NODE_44, whole genome shotgun sequence.
GGAGCGUUGGCAGAGCGGUCGAAUGCACUGGUCUUGAAAACCAGCAAUGGUGAUGAGCCAUUCGAGGGUUCGAAUCCCUCACGCUCCU